ACGGGUGCGUAACGCGUGGGAAUCUGCCCCUUGGUUCGGAAUAACAGUUGGAAACGACUGCUAAUACCGGAUGAUGACGUAAGUCCAAAGAUUUAUCGCCGAGGGAUGAGCCCGCGUAGGAUUAGGUAGUUGGUGUGGUAAAGGCGCACCAAGCCGACGAUCCUUAGCUGGUCUGAGAGGAUGAUCAGCCACACUGGGACUGAGACACGGCCCAGACUCCUACGGGAGGCAGCAGUGGGGAAUGUUGGACAAUGGGCGAAAGCCUGAUCCAGCAAUGCCGCGUGAGUGAUGAAGGCCUUAGGGUUGUAAAGCUCUUUUACCCGGGAUGAUAAUGACAGUACCGGGAGAAUAAGCUCCGGCUAACUCCGUGCCAGCAGCCGCGGUAAUACGGAGGGAGCUAGCGUUAUUCGGAAUUACUGGGCGUAAAGCGCACGUAGGCGGCUUUGUAAGUAAGAGGUGAAAGCCCAGAGCUCAACUCUGGAAUUGCCUUUUAGACUGCAUCGCUUGAAUCAUGGAGAGGUCAGUGGAAUUCCGAGUGUAGAGGUGAAAUUCGUAGA
rnacentral:rRNA from 1 species